rnacentral:rRNA from 1 species
ACUGCUCAGUAACACGUGGACAACCUGCCCUUAGGUUGGGUAUAAACCCGGGAAACUGGGUAUAAUACCCGAUAGGUCUCGAUUGCUGGAAUGCAUCGAGAUUUAAAGCUCCGGCGCCUAAGGAUGGGUCUGCGGCCUAUCAGGUAGUAGUGGGUGUAGCGUACCUACUAGCCUACGACGGGUACGGGUUGUGAGAGCAAGAGCCCGGAGAUGGAUUCUGAGACACGAAUCCAGGCCCUACGGGGUGCAGCAGGCGCGAAAACUUUACAAUGCGGGCAACCGUGAUAAGGGAACCUCGAGUGCCUGUAUAUGCAGGCUGUCCAGGUGUCUAAAACACACCUGAAGAAAGGGCCGGGCAAGACCGGUGCCAGCCGCCGCGGUAAUACCGGCGGCUCGAGUGGUGGCCACUAUUAUUGGGCUUAAAGCGUUCGUAGCUGGGUUAUUAAGUCUCUUGGGAAAUCUACCGGCUUAACCGAUAGGCGUCCAAGGGAUACUGGUAAUCUAGGGACCGGGAGAGGUGAGGGGUACUUCAAGGGUAGGAGUGAAAUCCUGUAAUCCUUGGGGGACCACCUGUGGCGAAGGCGCCUCACCAGAACGGCUCCGACAGUGAGGGACGAAAGCCGGGGGAGCAAACCGGAUUAGAUACCCGGGUAGUCCCAGCCGUAAACGAUGCGCGUUAGGUGUAUCGAUGACCACGAGUCAUCGAGGUGCCGAAGGGAAACCGUGAAACGCGCCGCCUGGGAAGUACGGUCGCAAGGCUGAAACUUAAAGGAAUUGGCGGGGGAGCAC